rnacentral:rRNA from 1 species
CGGGUGCACUGAUCCGGCCGGGCCUUUCCCUCUGUGGAACCCCAUGGCCUUCACUGGCUGUGCGGGGGAAACAGGACUUUUACUGUGAAAAAAUUAGAGUGCUCCAGGCAGGCCUAUGCUCGAAUACAUUAGCAUGGAAUAAUAGAAUAGGACGCGUGGUUCUAUUUUGUUGGUUUCUAGGACCGCCGUAAUGAUUAAUAGGGACAGUCGGGGGCAUCAGUAUUCAAUUGUCAGAGGUGAAAUUCUUGGAUCUAUUGAAGACUAACUACUGCGAAAGCAUUUGCCAAGGAUGUUUUCAUUGAUAAGGAACGAAAGUUAGGGGAUCGAAGACGAUCAGAUACCGUCGUAGUCUUAACUAUAAACUAUGCCGACUAGGGAUCGGACGAUGUUAUUUCUUGACGCGUUCGGCACCUUUCGAGAAAUCAAAGUGCUUGGGCUCCAGGGGGAGUAUGGUCGCAAGGCCGAAACUUAAAGAAAUUGACGGAAGGGCACCACCAGGGGUGGAACCUGCGGCUUAAUUUGACUCAACACGGGGAAACUCACCAGGUCCAGACACAGUGAGGAUUGACAGAUUGAGAGCUCUUUCUUGAUUCUGUGGGUGGUGGUGCAUGGCCGUUCUUAGUUGGUGGAGUGAUUUGUCUGCUUAAUUGCGAUAACGAACGAGACCUUAACCUGCUAAAUAGCCCGUACUGCUCUGGCAGUUCGCCGGCUUCUUAGAGGGACUAUCGG